rnacentral:rRNA from 1 species
AUUGAACGCUGGCGGCAUGCCUAACACAUGCAAGUCGAACGGUAACGCGGAGAGCUUGCUCUCUGGCGACGAGUGGCGGACGGGUGAGUAAUACUUAGGAAUCUGCCCAUUAGUGGGGGACAACUCGAGGAAACUCGAGCUAAUACCGCAUACGCCCUACGGGGGAAAGCGGGGGAUCUUCGGACCUCGCGCUAAUGGAUGAGCCUAAGUCGGAUUAGCUUGUUGGUGAGGUAAAGGCUCACCAAGGCGACGAUCCGUAGCUGGUCUGAGAGGACGAUCAGCCACACUGGGACUGAGACACGGCCCAGACUCCUACGGGAGGCAGCAGUGGGGAAUAUUGGACAAUGGGCGCAAGCCUGAUCCAGCAAUGCCGCGUGUGUGAAGAAGGCCUGCGGGUUGUAAAGCACUUUCAGUAGAGAAGAAAAGCCUAGGGUUAAUACCCCUGAGUCUUGACGUUACCUACAGAAGAAGCACCGGCUAACUCCGUG